rnacentral:lncRNA from 1 species
AGGUUAUGAACAACAGUAAACAUGACAGAAGCGCCUUCUCCCCUGCAGGAACUAACCUCCCAAAGGGAACAAAGCCAGGAUCCUGUAAACAAACAAACGGGCUAAUUACAGGUUAGCUAUAGCUGAGAUCUGAAGUGUUUCCAAAAGGCCUUUGUGUUGCUUGGAACUAGGAGAAGGCAGAUGAACCCAGAGGGCAAAAGCAGUCAUGUUCAGAAACCUCUGGAACGCUCAAGGUGAGCCUUUAUUCAAGUUGAUCAGCUCAAGCAUUUUACUACAGUAACAGACGGUGCCCAAUAGUGUCCUGUGCGUGUAAAAAAGGCAGCCCAUAUUACAGAGGGUGAAGAGGGGCUACUCUAGAGGUAGUUACAGAAGGUUGCCUUCUGAAAGGCAGCAUUGGAGGGAGUAGGGAGUCAAGCGACGGUCAGUGAAGAGGAGGAUUCCAGGUAGACAGACAAGCAAGCAUAAAGGUCCCAAGGCAAGAAAGAGGUGGUUGGUGUGGCUGCAACUUCUCUGUGCCUAUGACUGAUCAGAAAUUGCUCAUGGCACCCAGCCCAGCUCCUGCCCCAGGCUCCAAACAUCACAGCCCUUGAUUCCAGAGCUUCCCCUGCCCAGACUUGUAGCUCCACUUGGGGCACAGACACAGCUGUGAGACCACAGAACAAUGGGCUUGGCCCUGGGAAGUGGCGAGAAGCUACCAUGUUUCUAACAAAGGAACUCAUGAGUGGGUCAAAGGCUUUGGUGAAUACUGCCUACUUUAUGUAGCAAUUUCUGGCCCUACAGCUAGCAGGAAAUACAAAAGGACCAUGUAAUGGUGAAACUCCUUUCUCUCUGUCACCUUACACCUCUCUCCCAUGGUCUUAUUCACCCUACCUCCUCUACUGUGGAAG